GUUCCCUAACGUCCGGUAAGUUAUGUGAGUAGUGGGAAUUUGCACGCUCGUGUGACGCAAAACAAACGCGAUAGAGGAAGCUGGCACAACCCACUGCACUCACAUAUCCUCGGUGAAGAAGCAGUGCGCUUUUUGCUGGAUUUUCCUCAUGUGGUAGCUUUUAUAAUCCUUCAACAUAUGCUUCCUGCCCAGGACCAGGAUGGAGAGACCUUGCUGAUGUAACUUGGAGACCACAGCCAACAGCUGUAGGGAGACAUACAAAAACACACUCCCACCGUGUCAUAGAGGUCGCAGGGAGUUUCCUGUCUGUCUCUCCAGAUGCGCAGUGAAGUGUAACUUCCAAGGAUUUCACUGUACCGUAUCUUGUGACUGUCCCGUAA